CUACAGGUGUGCACCACCACACCCAGCUGAUUUUUGUAUUUGUAGUAGAGACUGGGUUUCACCAUGUUGGCCAGGCUGGUCUCAAACUCCUGAACUCAAGUGAUCCACCUGCCCUGGUCUUCAAGUGAUGGGACUACAGGUGUGAGCCACCAUGCCUGGCUUCAGGCAUCUUCUUAGACCACUUUUUCUAGAGUUGUUUUCCUAAUAUUUGUCUUGUGAUUACAAGUGAAUGUCACUAUAUACAGGCUAUUAUGACAGGCAGGUUUUAACUUCUCUGUCAGUCAAGUUAAUCAUAUUAUGUAGGCCUAAUAUUUUUUGAAUAAUAGAAUCACUCAUUCUUUCAUUUAAGUAUUUAUCAGGUUGUUACUGUGUGCAGGGGACUAUUCUUAAUGCUACGUAAGAUAAGGAAAUUUCUAAGUAAAACAGAUUUUCAGUUCUCCAAGAGCACUUAGACUGCAAGGGGCUAUAUGGACUUUAUAUGGAUAACUAUAGGGCAAGAUAGGAGUUGACAAAUUAUAGUCCACUGACUGUUGUAGAUACAAUUUUACUGGACCAUAGCAGCGCUCAUUCAUUUAUAUAUUACCUGUGGGUGCUUUUGUGCUACAAUGGUAGAGAGUAGUUGUGAUGGAGAUGUUAUGUCCUACAAAGCCUAAAUAUUUACUGUCUGGCCCUUUACAGAAAAAAAUUUGCUGACUCCCUGGUAUGAGACGUUAUAAUGCCUUUUGUAUGCUACUCGCAAUAGAAUGUUGUGCUUUUAUGUUUGCUAAAGGAUCUCAUAUGAAGGAGUGAUUUCAACCUGAUUCAGUCAGGCAUCAGGAAAAUUUCUAGCAUAUGAGUAAAAACCUAGAUAUUGAUUCCUCCUCUAUGAUUCCAGUGGUUUGUCAAUUGUAUAUCUGUCUGUAAAUGAAACACAGAUCUACUUUUUCUAAUUAGUUCUUACUAUUAUAUAAUUAGUCUCAGGUAAAGUUCUUUGCAUAUCAAACUUAGUGUCUAGUUUCUUAACUACUAAUAUAGCAUAAUCAUAUUUUACUUUUAAGCAUGGAGUCAGCAAUAAUUAACAUUGGAUGUAGUCUUCAAACUUCAGAAGCAUUUGUUAAACUUCUCAUCAAUAAAUGAUAAUCUCAUAGUCUAAAAGAGUUAAUUUAUUUAUAAGUAAGCAUGCCUUUUUUGUAGUACUCUGAUAGGCAGUAAAACAAAAAACUACAAAACAGAAGAUCUAGCUGUAUAAGAGCCAAAUUUACAUGCAACUCUAAAACAUAUACGACUUAAGAGAAUUUAUAAUUCAGCACCAAUGUGUGACAUUUUUAAUAGGCUCUUAAUAAUAUAUAAGUUAGAAGAUAAAUGGAUAUAGUCCUACACUUGGCUAAGAUGUAUUGCAGUGCUAGGAGUUUUAUGUUUUUUGUCAUUGUCAACUAAUGAAUGAAAAUACAAAGCAAUUUUAAAUGAGCCACGAUUUAUAUUUACACAAAAUUAAGCCGUUUUAAAAAUCUUGAUGUUUCAGUUAAUCACAGGUAUUUGAUACAUUAUUUAAUAAUAUUUGCCUUGGCAGUACUAUUGUUUUAAACUAUUAAUAAUCCAUUGGGAAGUUUUGGUUUUCUUCAAGUUUAGUAAAUCAGUAAGAAAAUGAAUAAACAAUCUUGAUGUUUUUCUUGAAAAUACAGUUCACUGAGUCUGUUAGAAUAAAGGAAAUGCUUACACAGUUGUCUGUUGUUGUCUGUGUGGGAUUGGUUCCAGGACAUCCCAGGGAUACCAAAAUCCACAGAUGCUCAAGUCCCUUUUGUAAAAUCGUAUACUAUAACCUACACACACCCUCCCGUAUACUUUAAAUUAUCUCUGAAUUACUUAUAAUAUCUAAUACAAUGUAAAUGCAAUAUAAUUAGUUGUAUUAUUUAGGGAAUAGUGACAAGAAAUGUACAAAUACAUUUCAAGUACAUAUACAAGUCUGUAUAUGUUGAACACAGAUGCAACCAUGCAUUUUUUUCCCCUGAAUAUUUUCAAGCAGUGGUUGGUUGAACCUAUGAAUAUAUAGGACUGACUGUGUAUGCUUUUAUGCUUUCAGUACUGUUUAAAGUCAUUGAGAUAGUAGAGCCAUCAUUAUAACCCAUAUAGUCAGAGUGAAUACCUUAAUAAUGUUUAUUGUAUGUUUUCCCAAACAAAUGAAUAGAAUAAUUUUAUGUAAAAUUGUGUAUUAAAAGAUUGUAAAUGGUCAGGUUUCCAUUAGUUUGAUUUUGAGAGAAAUAAUUCAGAGAAUCAUUAGGUCCUUCUGCCUUUUUCAGAACAAUCAAUGGACUGAAGGGUCUUAAGAGAAGACCUUAGGGAUUUCUUAUAGAGAUAAUUUGAGUGACAAAGUAUUGUUUCCACUUUUUUAUAUACCCACCAGCUUGCCCUUCCAUAAUUGGCAACUUUUAAUUUCUGACAAUGUUGUAAAAGGAUGAGUUAUAGCAAAUCACUAUUAAGUUAUCUCAAAUGUUUCUAAUUCUCAUCCCUUCCACAUAAUUAACUUCCUUUUAUUCCUCCUCAUUCAUUUUAGUUAUUUUUAUUUUUAAUUGUCAAAGAAAUAUUUGCUCAUAAAGGAAAUUUAGGGAAUGUUUAAAAUGAUAAAAAGAGACUAAAUUACACAUAGUUCUCUUACCCAGGUAUAAUUAGGUAUGAUGAUAAUGACAGUUGAUUUUGGUUUUCUUUUCUUCCAUUUCCCCCCUAUGGAUUAGGGCUUUUUCUAAAGGAUUUUUAAAUGUGGGUAUUUAUAACUUAAAUGUUUUUCCAUAUUAUUGCAUAUUGUUUAUGAACAUUUUUAUAAAUUAGGCCUUUCCACAUUUAGUAUUAUUUUCUUAACUUUUAAGGGAGAAAUACUGAAGCAAACAGUAUGAAGGUAUUUUACGAUUAUUUAUAUAUAUUGCCAGAUCGGUUUCCCAAAGGAGUGAUCCAGUUUAUCUUCACACUAAUAAUGUAUCAAACUAUGAUGAUUCAUUGCAAACUUGCUAGCAGCAAUUCUACAUUAAUAAAUAAAUUAAAGAAUUUGAUUUUUUACUUAUUUCUUCCCAGCCCCUAUAGGGAAUUUGUUUACUUCUUUGCAAUUUUUUUUUCUUCCCUACACAAAACAUAUAGGUAGGUAGGUAGGUGGGUAGGUAAGUAGAUGGAUGGAUGGAUGGACGGAUGGAUGAACUAGGAUGGAUCUGCUGAGCCUCUUUUAAAACAAAUUGUCUCAAAUUAUGUAUUCCAGAAGUCUUUAAGCUCAGAUAAUCUUCUCACUAUUGUUAUCUCACCAUUUACUUUGUGCUGCUGCUGCUUUGUUGUUUAAGGCUGUGCAUUAUUUUAAGAACACUGAAUUCUGUCAAUGCUGUUCUCCCAUUAUUACUGCUAUCUUCAGCAUUGUCUGUUUCAUUGUAUCUUGUGUGUGCCACACAGCCAUGUAGAUAAUGGGUUUGAGAAAGGUUUCAAAAUUUUUUUCUAUUCUUCUGCCUUUGUUGCAGUGAUAUCUCUACCGGCCUUUCAAGGUAGGGGAGGAUAUUUUCCUAAGCAGAAAAUUUUGAGGCCUGUGUCCUUGGAGAGUUUGUGAACAUGAAGAUUUCAGUAGUUAAGCGCUGACCCCAGGCCUGGUAUUGAUACUUAGGAUUUCCCUAACCUGCAGAACCAUGGGAAUAGUAUCUACAGUGGUAGAGCCGUGGUAAGCAAAUCAGCUUUCACAUUAGAAAAGUCACACUUGGUGUGGUUGUCUAACAAGCAAGCAUGCUUGCAGGUCCGUACUGUUUCUCUUCAUUAUGUCUUUUACAUCUCUCUGGUUCCUCAGAGUGCUUUGUAUAUAGUGGCUACUGAAUUAUUUGUUGAGCCGAGUACAGAGUGCUCUGUAUAUAGUAAGUCAUCUAUUUCUUGAGCCGAAUUGAAUUUGUUAGGGUUAACAGUAUUUCUUGGGUCUCUUCCAGUAGUUCUUUCAUCUCCAACUCACCUGAGGAUGUGGUUGGACUGAAGAUUACUUCAAGAUUCUUUUCCCCAGUGCUUUGCUGUUACCGACUGGGGAAGCUAUGGAAAAGAAUAUUUUAGGAGAGUGGAAUGAUGGUUUAAUAUACCUGUCUUUUAAUAUAGCUUCCCACUUAAUUGAAUUUUUCCUUCCAAAAUGGACAUUCAGUGGACUUAUAGGCUCUUCUUGAAUAUGUGUCUUAAAGGGGGGUGAAUGCACUUUGGGGUAGCUCAGGCUUUUUCCAUAAUGUUUAUUUAUAUUCAGCUGAAAUGAAUAUAUUUUUGGCUUUUUCCCAUUGUGAUUAUAUAGGAAGAAUGAGAAUUUUUGUUUUAGCCAAGAACCUUCUAUAUACCUUAGUAGAACCAUUGUUUCUGUCCAGGCUUCUCCUGGUCUUGAACCAUUCUCGUAAAAUAUGGUUUUGAAAGUCAUCACCAACUUUUCCCUGAAUAUGCUCUGAUAAUACUUCUUUUAAUGGUGCUCAGAGCUGAAUAAAAUGUUACAUGCGUGAUAGGACUAGUAACAGAUGAGAGCGAGACUAUCGUUUUCCCUUGGUUUAUAUAACUAUUCUGCGAUUUACUCAGGCCAGAAAUAAGUUAUAUAUUUUUAGUAGUUACAUUUUGUCCUUUAAUUUAUUGAGUUUAUUUUCAAUAAAUCCAUAUGUCUGCUUUACACUUGCUUAAUUUAUAUUCCUUCUCCGUAUAUGUACAAUGGUUUUCGUUUUUUAAAACUAAUUUUACAUUGUUAUUUCCCUUCAACUUCAUCUUGUUAGAGUUGGCUCAGUUUUUCCAGCAUUUCUGAAACCUUUGUUCCGUUUCUAAUACAGUCAUUAAACUUUUGACUUCUGCAAAUGUGAUAUACUUUUUUUUUUUCAACUUUUAUUGUAGGUUAAGGGGCUACAUGUGCACGUUUAUUACUUGGGGAAAUGUCAAGACACUGUGCUUUGAGAAGAUACUUCUAGAGUCAGAGAAUUGAUGAGGAUCCAUGAGUGAACUCAGCAAAUUUCCCUCAAUGCCAUUAGCAGACUGUUUUAUACAAAAGUUAAGAACAGAAUGUUUAUAUUUGUGGUAAGUAUAUGCUUAUGUGUAUUUAUGUUCAUGUCUUUUUAUCUAGUAAUAGAAAAAUGCAGCUGUUACUGUGUUUUGUCUCUCAUCAAUUGCUAAGGGUUAGGUAAGUGUUGCUUUGAUUUGUAGUUCCAGAUAAUAGGUUUAAAUCUUUGUGCUUAUAUAUCAUUGUAUAUGAAUAUAUUGCUGAUAAGGGAAAUUAUUUUGGUUAUCAAAUAUCAGAAAGUUUCAUAUUAUUGCAUGUAUCUUUCUGGUAACAAGGCCACUACUUUCUAUUAAAUCAGGUAUUUUCUCUGAUGUGAAUUAAUUCUUUAAGCCAGUAAUCCAACAUUUCUCAGAAGUAUAAACUGUGGACAGUUUACAUCAGAUUCACUGGUAGUGCUUAUUAAAAUUACAGAUUUUCAGCAACUAUCUUAGUUCCCCUAAAUCAGAAUAUCUAGAAUGUGGAUCUCUGAAUUUGUGACAAGCUCUGCAGGUGAUUUCUGUGUACUCAGAAGUUUGAGAAUCAUAGUAUGAAACUUUCCUGGAAGUGUCUUUGCCCUUGGGAGGGGUUCCAUCCUGGAAGCUCUACAGAAAGAAUCCCUCGCUAUAAGCUCUCUGCCCAUUUAAGUUCCAAAAUAGUCAGUCUUAAGACACUGAUUGUGUCAGUUUGAAUUACAACCAAAUGUACAUUAUUUCCAAAAGCUGUUGGACUGGAACAAAACAGGAACAUCAAAAUUGCUCACUAGACCAAUACUGAAAGCAGAAAAAAUUGCGCUCAGUUCCAAUUCCUGACAACAUCCCAGGAAAUGUCUCAGCUGCCUUCACUGGGGAUUGUCACUGCCAAAAACACUUUACCCCUUUAAAGCCUAGUGGGGAACUAGGCACUCCAGAACUCAGCUAACUGGAGGGGGGAAAAAAAGAGAAAGUUCUACUUUUUUCAGGUCUAUAAGAACAGAGCUUUCUCUGGUACUAUGAGAAUUUCAGCCUAAAAGUUCUUUGUAUGUGAGAUCUUGACUAUAUGAUCAAAUCCUCUCUACAGCCAUGACCCAUCUUGAAUAUUUUACCGCUUGCACAGGGUUGCUACUGCAUUUGGCAGGGUACCGAAUGCAUCUCCCCAUCUCACAGAAUAGAUAUCGUUCCGUGUAUUGAUCCAUUUUUUUUUCACUUCUCUAUCAUCAUCUAUAAACUGAUUUUGAAUUUCAGCGUUUAAAUCAGGAACCCUUACUUUCUAGCCACUCAAAAGCCAGUUUAGAAAAAAUGUAAUUUUACAUAUGUACGUUCUAUGUAAAUUUGUUUGUAUCAGAGAGGUGGUAAUGCUACCUUUUAUAUACAAAGAUGAUGAUACUGAAUUAAAUUUCCAGAAGUAAUGAUGAGUUUUUAUUCAUGCAUGCAUGUUGUAAUCUCUGGCCUUCCUUGAAUUCAGAGACAUUCUAAAAUGCAGUGUUUUGGCUUGGCACAGUGGCUCAGGCCUGUAAUCCCAGCACUUUGGGAAGCCGAGAUGGGUGGAUCACCUGA